rnacentral:rRNA from 1 species
GAUUAAGCCAUGCAUGUGUAAGUAUAAAUAGUUAACUUUGAAACUGCGAAUGGCUCAUUAUAUCAGUUAUAGUUUAUUUGAUGAAGAAUACUAAUUGGAUAACCGUAGUAAUUCUAGAGCUAAUACAUGUAUAAAGUCUUGUAGACUGCAUUUAUUAGAAUGAAAACCAUAGGUUUCGGCCUAUUCGUGAGUAAUAAUAACUAAUCAUAUCGUAUGCGAUUUGUAACGAUGUGUCUUUCAAGUUUCUGCCCUAUCAGCUUCGAGAUAG